UACGAAGGGGGCUAGCGUUGUUCGGAUUUACUGGGCGUAAAGCGCACGUAGGCGGAUCGUUAAGUCGGGGGUGAAAUCCUGGAGCUCAACUCCAGAACUGCCUUCGAUACUGGCGAUCUAGAGUCCGGAAGAGGUGAGUGGAACUCCUAGUGUAGAGGUGGAAUUCGUAGAUAUUGGGAAGAACACCGGUGGCGAAGGCGGCGACCUGGUCCGUGACUGACGCUGAGGCGCGAAAGCGUGGGGAGCAAACAGG
rnacentral:rRNA from 1 species